AGCUCCAAUAGCGUAUAUUAAAGUUGUUGCAGUUAAAAAGCUCGUAGUUGGAUUUCUGUCGAGGAUAGAAGUCCACCCCAGUGGUCGGUACUGAAAGCCUUGGCAUCCUUCUGGUGAACGUAUCUGCACUUGAUUGUGUGGUGCGCUAUCCAGGACCUUUACUUUGAAGAAAUUAGAGUGUUUCAAGCAGGCGCAUGCCUUAGAUACUUCAGCAUGGAAUAAUAUCAUAGGACUUGAGUUCUAUCUUAUUGGUUCAUAGGACUGAAGUCGUGAUUAAGAGGGAUAGUUGGGGGCAUUCGUAUUUAACUGUCAGAGGUGAAAUUCUUGGAUUUGUUAAAGACGAACUACUGCGAAAGCAUUUGCCAAGGAUGUUUUCA
rnacentral:rRNA from 1 species